rnacentral:rRNA from 1 species
GACGAACGCUGGCGGCGUGCCUAAUACAUGCAAGUCGAACGCACAGUUUAUACCGUAGCUUGCUACACCAUAGACUGUGAGUUGCGAACGGGUGAGUAACGCGUAGGUAACCUGCCUGGUAGCGGGGGAUAACUAUUGGAAACGAUAGCUAAUACCGCAUAAUAUUGAUUAUUGCAUGAUAAUUAAUUGAAAGGUGCAAUUGCACCACUACCAGAUGGACCUGCGUUGUAUUAGCUAGUAGGUGAGGUAACGGCCCACCUAGGCGACGAUACAUAGCCGACCUGAGAGGGUGGUCGGCCACACUGGGACUGGGACACGGCCCAGACUCCUACGGGAGGCAGCAGUAGGGAAUCUUCGGCAAUGGACGAAAGUCUGACCGAGCAACGCCGCGUGAGUGAAGAAGGUUUUCGGAUCGUAAAGCUCUGUUGUAAGAGAAGAACGGGUGUGAGAGUGGAAAGUUCACACUGUGACGGUAUCUUACCAGAAAGGGACGGCUAACUACGUG